rnacentral:scRNA from 1 species
CACCGGUGUUUGAUGCUGCAGACUGGUCA